rnacentral:tRNA from 1 species
GGAAGUGUAGUUUAGUGGUACAGCAUGUACUUACCAUGCACAAAACCCUGGGUUCAGUUCCCAGCACCA